rnacentral:rRNA from 1 species
GAAUACAUCGGAAUUUGCCCAGUCGUGGGGGAUAACGUAGGGAAACUUACGCUAAUACCGCAUACGACGAGAGGUGAAAGCGGGGGAUCUUCGGACCUCGCGCGAGUGGAUGAGCCGAUGUCGGAUUAGCUAGUUGGCGGGGUAAAGGCCCACCAAGGCGACGAUCCGUAGCUGGUCUGAGAGGAUGAUCAGCCACACUGGGACUGAGACACGGGCCAGACUCCUACGGGAGGCAGCAGUGGGGAAUAUUGGACAAUGGGGGCAACCCUGAUCCAGCAAUGCCGCGUGUGUGAAGAAGGCCUUCGGGUUGUAAAGCACUUUUAUCCGGAACGAAACGCGCCAGGUGAAUAGCUUGGGAACUGACGGUACCGGAGGAAUAAGCCCCGGCUAACUUCGUGCCAGCAGCCGCGGUAAUACGAAGGGGGCUAGCGUUGCUCGGAAUGACUGGGCGUAAGGGCGCGUAGCGGAUGGUACAGUCAGAUGUGAAAUUCCUGGGCUUAACCUGGGGGCUGCAUUUGAUACGUGCUGUCUAGAGUGAGG